AGUUAAAGACCACCACUGUGAACAACAAGCCAUUAACAAGAUGUCAACAACACGAGUGCCUUGAGGCAAUCGUGUGCAAGAGUUUGGGAAAGGCCUUCACUGCUCUGUACAGAGUCAUGACCUCAUGUCCUUUCAACAUCUUUGGGAAGAAUUGAAACACCGAUUGACAACAUUAGUGAAAUCAGUUUUAGGUGAGACCAGGGGUAGGAGCCGCAUGUGGCUCUGUAACCCUUCUCCCGUGGCUCCCUGUGGCUUUGGCAAGAAAA